CUCACUCUGUCGCCCAGGCUGGAGUGCAAUGGCGUGAUCUCGGCUCACUGCAACCUCUGCCUCCCGGGUUCAAGAGAUUCUCCUGCCUCAGUCUCCUGAGUAGCUGGGACUACAGGCGCCCACCCACGCCAGGCUAAUUUUUGUAUUUUUAGCAGAGAUGGGGUUUCACCAUGUUGGCCAAGCUGGUCUCGAACUCCUGACCUCAAGUGAUCCGCCCGCCUGGGCCUCCCAAAGUGCUGGGAUUGCAGACCUGAGCCACCACGCCGGCCUGGAAGGUGGAAAUUUUUAAACGGUUAUUAAGAAAUGAGCUAGGACUGGCUCUGGAACUGUCUGUGUUUGAGGAGCUGCUGGAUUCUACAGUACCCUAUAAGCAACUCCCAACAGACUGUCAAAGUGCUGCUUGGUUUGUGGAUGACGGUUCCAUGGUGAAUGGACAACAUCCUAUUUGGAAGGAUGCCACUCUGAUCAAAGAAGACAACCAUAGUAACCUUGGAAUUCAGUGUGUUGAAGAUGGAAGAGCUACAAGAGAUCAACUCAUGUACUACUAAUGGAACACAUGUCAUUCUUUGGAAAUGCUGCAGUUUACCAUUAGUGGAAGUGGAAGGGAAAAGGGAAGGCAGGCAACAAGUCUUCGUCAGUUGAUGACAUCACUCGUCACUCAGACUGGGGCUGGUCUGGAUGACCUUCAAAGACCCACUUUGGCAUUCUGUUCCAUGUUAACCCAGGCCCAUGUGCAUCUAUACGGAAACCCAAGGCUCUGCAGCUAACUGCCUUGGAAACCACAAAGAGGAGUGCAUAUGUUUAUUUGUUGGUGAUCACAUUGCUGGGUACAGUGGAAAAACAUGUAAGAGCUUUCAAUCUGUUUGGAGAUACAGGACUUGUGAAACAACAUCAAAGCAGGUAAGAUGAAAUGUAAAUUAGAUCGAGUAGAGUAUAAGUGCAAAACUGAACUGAGCAAGACACUUCUGCACUUACAUUUUGUAGGAGUUUGGAGAAAAGGGAGACUGAAACGAGAGAUGGAUGGCAGACUGACUGGGUGCCACGUGUCCCUGAAAUGUCCUAACCAUACUCAAUAAGAGUGUGUGCCUUCUCAGGGAGUCUAUAGGGCAUGUGCCAGGCCCUUAAUAUCUACACUGAAAAUGGCGUGUUCAUUUCCAGGAAUACUCUGGUGCACUUUAACAAAACAAAAACCAAAUUCCUACUUCUGAAAUCCUUUUAUCAGAAAAUGCAGGGAUUUGGAGUCAGCUGACCUGUGCCAAAUCCUGAUUCUGUUACUUCAGUGGCUGUGGGAGCUGGGGCAUGUCCAGUCAGCAUAUGGAAUCUUGAGAUCCUGAUGUGACAAAUGGGGUGGUACUAAUACCAGUCCUGCCUAGACUUGGCCCCCAAUGUAAGGGGAACAAAUGAGAUCGUGUAGGCGAUGCCACUUUGCACAUUCUGAAGCACUAAAUGAAUGUGCAAUGGUGUCACCACAUGGUCUUUUGCCUCUUUUGCCUAUUACAUCUCUACCCCCAUGAUGUUCUGAGACUGGUGGCAUCUGCUCCAGAGAGGAAGCAGGCCUGGAAUAGCCCGGGUAUUUACGGAGGAGAUUGGCAGAGUGUGAGUUGUGAAACUCAGUGGUCUGCUCCAGAUCAUCCUGUUGAGUUCCUCACUCUCAUGAGCACUAAAUUUACUCUCCCCAUUUUUUAAAAAAUAGCUUCAGAAAUUUGCUCUAUUAUGUUUCUCUUCACUUUAUGUUGGGGGGAAUUUGAGAAUACUUCCAUACAAAGGGCUGUUCUUUGACUGAGAAUGAUCCUGUCAGGCAUAUAGCUCACCUCUCACUUGUCAGGCACACGGCAAGAGAAUGACUUUCUCAGAAUUAAUGGCCUUUUCUAAACCCAUUAAAGAAACUCUAAAGAUUAGGGCUGCUGUUCCCAAGCAUGAGGAUCAUUUUAUGUGGAUUGGCCACUUUGAAUAAGCUAGUGACUAGUGGAAGAGUAGCUGUAACCCUGCCCUCUGAAGGCUUGUACUCAUAAUGAGCUCAAAUGUGACCUAAGGACAACUAAACCGGUAAGUCUGAGACUUGAUUACCCUGUAUGUUUUGCAGCCUCCUCCUCUUACUCAGUGUGUGACCUUAGGCAGCUCACUGCACCUCUGUGGGAUUCAGUUUCUGCAUCUGCCAUAGAGGGAUCAUGAGUACCGAUCCUCCAGGGCUGACAUGAAAAUUAAAGAAGGUAGAGUGUCUACAGUGCUGAUCUACGUGAUUGGCAUAUAGGCAACACUCUGCAAAUGUUAGCUGUUAUGACUGUGAUGAUGUUAGGACCUUGUCACAGUGUAAAGGAAGCCAUAUCCCUGACCUCUGAGGGCAUGUGCUCAAAAUGAGAUAAAAUACAGAAAGACAAGCAAUCCAAACGUGGGCAGAAGGGGCAGGGAGGUUGCAUUCAGUCCAGUGGUUUCACCGAACCCUCCUUCCUUUCCAUCUCCUCCUACCAAAAUUGUUAACUUUACCACAGAACAAGACAUUAUUUUAACUGCCUAGAAACCAGGGCUUCUUUCGUUUUUUCCCCAAGUGGGGUGAGGGGGAAGGAAAAGAGAGAGGAAAUAAACACCAGCUGGGAUGAGAAUAUGAAGAAAAGAUAGGUUUCUUUUUUUUCCAUUAAAAAAAAAAGAAUGGGGUAGUGGGGACAGGGAGAAAAAUGUGUUUUGAAUGUGGAGGUACUGUUGCAAAUAGCACAGGCAGUUUCCCAGAGCCGCACUUCUUCCAAUCAUCUCAGAGCAGGCAGUGCUCUGGCCCCAGCCAAUUAUUUAUUUACACAAGAGGUACAGAUGCCAGAGGCAGGUGUCAAAACAAUUAAUAACACUCCCGAAAUGAAUAGUCUCUCCGUAACUCUGCCAGCCCGUGUAGGCUGGCUCCUCAGGAGAGAGCUCCCUGAGAAACUGCUCCCAGCCAGAGCAAUGGUCUGGGUCCACUGCGCAAACAUUCAGUACUGAUCUGUAGCUACACUCUACCGCCCAUUGCGUAUGAGGGUGAGGGCUUGCCUUUUCAAGAGACUCACCUUCAUCCCUUCUUGAAAUACCUAGUACUUCGCGAAAGCUGAAUCUUUGCUCAAAAGUCUUUGAGUUUUUCUAGCCAGAGAAAUGCAGAGGCAGACUGGGGGACUCCAAAGUGGUGGGAACUGCUGUUUCUUGAAGAUAAAUUUGCAGUAAAAUGAAUUCUACAAUUGAGGAUUAAAAGGAUUUCAAAUUUAAAUUGAAUUAAAAUUUUAAAACUUAAUUCACUUAUUUUUCAAAACAACCUUACAAGGUAUACACUACUAUUAUCCCCAUUUCCAGACGAAGAAACCGAGUCACAAAAAGGGUAAGUAAUUUGCUCAAGUAAGUAGUAGAUCUAGAAUUUGAACUCAGGUGGGCUGGCUCUAAGGUAAAUGCUCUUAACCAUUAAACACUCUGCUUUGCUCCCUCCUGUUCAUUCCAGAGAUUGAACUUCCUUCUCUUGACCUUACAGCCAAAGGUUGUUAUUGUGUCAUAUAAAUAUACUUUCUAUAACUAUGUGUGUUGGUAUUUAUUUCUCAUUGAGGUUGAGAAGGUCUUGGUGCUUUGAACAUCUUCCCACCUAUCCUGUGCACAACUGCACACACUCUCAAAUAAUGAAAACAUUUUUCUUUUUGAUUUUACAAGCUGAUAUUAUUCUCUUUGGAGCUUUGGUGUCUUAGAAAUGCACUGUAACCUUAAUUACAACUCGUAUCAGGGGAGUUGUACUCAGUUUUAAGGGACUGCUUCACCGUUCUAACUGUGGAGAAAUGGGAAGUUAUUUCCCAGUGGCUCGAAUUAGAAUUAAUGCACUGAGCUCUCCAGACCACAGACAGAAUCAUGAGACAUUGGGUAAGCAUCUGAAUCGGGGAAUUUUCAGCCUCCUGGCAAAUGCUUCUUUUUUCUUCACCCCUUCCCCAAGCCUGCCCAGGAGAAGUCCGUGCCUUGGGGAGUAGGGACUUGAGCUAACUAUCAGGUUGGCAAUCAGUGAAUGCCUGCUGGUGGAUUGAUUGCUAGAGUCUGCUAGAGAAGAACUUUUGAAACCUCAGGAGCAAAAGAGUGUGUGUUCUUGAUUCUAGGGCCAGAUCCAAUCUCCUCAAAAAAUUAAGACAAAGUCAGAGUUUCCCCGACAAAACCCACAUUUGGCAGUCUUCAGAAAGUUUCUAUCACCUGCAGGAUGGAAAAAUCAUGGUCCCCAGGGAAGGUAAUGGGUACUUAUUUCAUGUUUUCGCUUUCAUUGCAGAUGGAAGCAGCAGCAAUAGGAACAGCAGCAACACAGCCUCGGACCAACUGAGCAUUUAAUUGAACACCUAAUGGAGUGACACUUUGUUUCCUAGGCAAAUUUGGUUGCUAUUAACAGGGAGGUAGUUAUCAUGGUUAAAUUUACUCAUUACAACAAAGUACUAGGGGAGCUUUUUAAUAUUUAUGUGACAAUAAUUGAUCUCUUACCACUGUCAAGUACUGCUAAAGACUUAUCAGCUUGCUGUUUCAGCACCAUAUGUUGUAGCCAAGAUGCACUCCAUGUGUCCUUCCUGUGCCUUGGGGAGAGAACAUUUGCAGUAGAUCAGAAUAGAAAAUGGUAUGGGUUUCAGAAAAGCUGCUUGCUCUCAGCUUUCUCGUCAGUGACCGGGGUAUGCAAGUUGUGACUAUAAAGUAAUGAGACUACCUUCCAAAACCACCCGUGAAAUGAAGCCUCGACCUUUAAUUGUUCUCUUCCCUAGGUUUGAACCAAGAACUGGUCGACCUAAUUAAAGGGGAUUCCUCGUAAAUUCGCCUUGUAUUGCAUUCAACUUAUUUUAAAUAGGGCAUUCUGUGAAAUCUGAAAACCCGCCUACAAUUAAAACACUAACAUCUAUACCAUUUGGUUUUUCUUAAUGAGCCAUGUGCUGAUUUCACUUGUCUUAUUUCAGCAAUAACAAGGAUUAGCACACACAUACCAUAAAUCUCCCAGGAACCUAAGGAGUGGGCUUUUAGAAUUUUUCUUGAGGCAGAUUUCAUUUGAACUUUAUUUAUGGGAGUGAGUGAGCUACUUGGGGAAAGAGAGUUUAACUGUUUCAAACUGUGAGGGUCCCCUUAAGUAAACUGCGUCUGGGAAUCACAGUGUGGGUCAAGGAGCUAGAAACAUUAAGCAUCCCACAGUCAUAUGCAUAGGGAGGCUACCUCAAUAGCUCUGCCUGCCUGAUGAGGUGGGGUUGCAAUGACCCUUGGGUCGUCUGGAGGGUCACAGUUUCAGAAGAUGUGGUGAAAUAAGGCAAGUGUGUUACCAUGACCAUGAUAAUAUUUAUAUUUUAGAAGUAUCUUGAUGUGGUGGGCCUUAAGGAACUGACAUUCACAAGUCUUCCUCCAAGCACACACUGUCUACUAGGUCAAUCACACAAUGAGCUGUUAAUAUUUAAAAUCUAAACACAACAAAAAUUUUUUAAAAAUGGAUCUGUCAAUCACAGUGGAAUGCUAUUUUCCUGGGAUCACUGUGCCACCAUCUUUUCUGGGAUCGAGAAUCUCCUUUUCCGUUCGUUUGUUAGUUUGCUUUUUUGCACCGUUGGAGGAGAACGUUUUCAAAGCAAAUUAAGAGAAAAUUGAAGAAAUGGACCUUUAACCCUUCCUCAGAGCUACUGAUGAGGGCCUGAGAGAAACUUCUCUUUAAAAUCCUCUGGAAAUCUAGAAGCCAUUUGAACAUGUUCAUUAGUGGCCUUUGGCCAAUGAUGUCUGUACAUUUCUUAGACAACUUUUCAUAUAUUUGGAAAAUUCAAUCCAGCCCUAAUGCCACUGUGGAUUAUUUCCUUGGGCUCCUGGAUAUUUUCUGUGCUUCUUCUUCUUUUUUUUGGAUCUG
rnacentral:lncRNA from 10 species